CCUACGGGUGGCUGCAGUGAGGAAUAUUGGUCAAUGGACGCAAGUCUGAACCAGCCAUGCCGCGUGAAGGAAGACGGCUCUAUGGUUUGUAAACUGCUUUUAUAAGGGAGUAAAGGGAGAUACGUGUAUCUGUUUGAAAGUAUCUUACGAAUAAGGAUCGGCUAACUCCGUGCCAGCAGCCGCGGUAAUACGGAGGAUUCAAGCGUUAUCCGGAUUUAUUGGGUUUAAAGGGAGCGUAGGCGGGCGGAUAAGUCAGAGGUGAAAUCCGGAGGCUCAACCUUGGAAUUGCAUUUGAUACUGGUCGCCUAGAGUAUAGUUGCGGUAGGCGGAAUGCAUGGUGUAGCGGUGAAAUGCUUAGAGAGCAUGAAGAACACCGAUGGCGAAGGCAGAUUACUAAGCUACAACUGACGUUGAGGCUCGAAAGCGUGGGGAGCAAACAGGAUUAGAUACCCGUGUAGUC
rnacentral:rRNA from 1 species